rnacentral:rRNA from 1 species
UACGAAGGGGGCGAGCGUUGUUCGGAAUUACUGGGCGUAAAGGGCGCGCAGGCGGCUCAGACAGUCAGAUGUGAAAGCCCCGGGCUUAACCUGGGAACUGCAUUUGAUACUACUGAGCUUGAGUACGGGAGAGGAUAGUGGAAUUCCCAGUGUAGAGGUGAAAUUCGUAGAUAUUGGGAAGAACACCGGUGGCGAAGGCGGCCUUCUGGACCAGUACUGACGCUCAUGCACGAAAGCGUGGGGAGCAAACAGGAUAGAA